rnacentral:lncRNA from 1 species
GUUCACCUCAGGGCUCCUAGCCUGGGGGGUUCAGGAAGAAGUUGCGGGGCCUGAGUCCAGGAGGCCUUAGGGGUCUGUUGGGCGGGUUUCGUCCACUACCCCACCCUUGCCUCAGCUUCCCUACCUCUGAAAUGAGAACUACACGCCCCUCUCUGGGCACUGGAGGACCUUAGGAGGAGUCCUGCGGGGAAGCUUGUGAAAGGCUGGCGAACUCGCCACCCCCAGGAUCCUGCGAGGGAAGGACCCCUCGGGAAGACUGUUUCCUAAGUUCUCCCAUGCUGACCGGGCCCCAGCUCCCUUGCCCUGGAUCCAGUGUCUAAGGGCGCCUGUCACCCAGCCCUCAGCCAGCACACACACUGGGGACAUGCCUGUGGCUCUCAGAAGAGCGUCAGGAAGCACUGCCCCAGGAGGAGACCGUGUGUGCGGCCCUUCCCCCUCCAGAACCCUCUCUCACACCGCCAGGGUGGCCAGGCCCUGUCCUGCCUUCGCUCUCGCCCCCUCGGUCACUGGGUUGGAGUCCUGCUGCCCCCAGUGUCCCCAGGCCCAGUGCUCGGGGGAGGAGGCUGGGAGUGAGCGGUCAGGGCUGGCGCCCUCCCCCAGCCCAGUGCAGACCCCGGGCGGUGGCAGGUUCCAACAGGGACCGAAGCGCAGGGAGACAGAGAUGAGCUCUGGGGUCAUCUGUCAGGGGCUGGAGGGCCAUGCCCAGUCCAGCACGGCGGUCAGCCUGCAAGCCGCCCGCUGUGUGCCAGGACCAGGGGCGAGCCCCGGGGGCUUCCGUCACUGGCCCCUCCCCCAAAGCCACCCCAGAUUUUUGUCUGGCCACAAGACCUUGGCCAAGUCCCUAAACCUCUCCAAGCCUUGGUCUCCCCAGCGAUAAACCGGAGUUGGCAGUAGCGGCCUCAGGUUGCUAUGGGGUGCGGUGAAGGCCACAUGGGAAGCCCUGGGAGGCAGUAUGCCAGGCGCAGGGCAGGGUCAGGAGUGGCAGAGACACGAACAUCAGGCCCAAAUCAGCAAGCGCUUCUUUCUCUAGAGAUCUUUGUACUUCUUGGCUGUGCCUGGUCUUCGUUGCUUCGUGGGCUUUCCUCCAGUUGUGGCGAGUGGGGGCCGCUCUGCAGGUGCGGUGGGCGGGCUUCUCGCGGCCGUGGUCUCCCUUCUCGCCGAGCGCAGGCUCGGCAGUCGCGGCGCGCAGGCUUAGUUGCUCUGUGACACAGGGGCUCUUCCUGGGCCAAGGACCGAACCCGCGUCUCCUGCACUGGCAGGCAAUUCUUUGCCACCGAGCCACCAGGGAAGCCCACAAGCGCCUCUCAGUCCGCACGCUCCACGUAGGGAGAUGGGCGCGGGGCCUGGUUAGUCGCAGUCAGCAUCAAGUUCCGUAAAAGGGCGCGCAGCCACCCGGGCAAGGGCACGGCGGGACUGCGAAAGAGUUCAACACUAGGGAAAGCCUUGUCCCCAGCGUACCAAAAGACAGCAAAAUCAAGAUGCAUGAGGAUGAACCGGAUGUCUGCCUCAUCAGCAUGGUGUCCAUGCCAGCUUUANNNNNNNNNNNNNNNNNNNNNNNNNNNNNNNNNNNNNNNNNNNNNNNNNNNNNNNNNNNNNNNNNNNNNNNNNNNNNNNNNNNNNNNNNNNNNNNNNNNAUGCCAGCUUUAAAUGUAAAAUAAGGAAAGAAGCUCAUUAUACUUGUGAACAAUUUGUGGGGUAUAUUUGUUUCUCUUUACAGAGUUUUCCAACCAUACUCAGUGACCCCUGGACAAUGUACAGGUGAUUGUCUUAAAUACCCAAAAAUGUCCAAAAGCAAAGCAGUAAGAUUUUCUUUUAAACUUUCUUUCAGGGGGAAAAACCUACGAAGGAAGGAGGUGGUGCAGACUGAGGUGCCCGCUGCGGGGUUGGGUGUGGCCGCGGGCGGCUCAGGGCCACCAGCCUGCUCCUCUCCCAGGGCCUGGGCCCAGGCUGGGGGCGCAGGACCUGUGCCCAGCUCAGCCCUACUGCCGCCCCUCGGCCCCUGCCAGCUACCUCCAAGGCCCUUUCUUCCCAGAGCCCUGAGGAGCGUGAGCCUGGAGCAGACGGCAACUCUCUCCCAGACAGUAGGGGCUUCAGGGCUCACCCCAGCAUCCCUCUCCCAGCCCUACUGUCUGCGUUCUCUGGCCUAGGCCUUCUGGCCUGCGUCCCCGCCUCUUCCAGGAAGACUUCUGGGCUUCCCAGAACACGCGCAGGUGGCCUUCAUCUGGCCCUGGCUGCUACACACCAUCAUAAGGCCACACAGUGUCCAACUGGAUGCUCCGAGGGCCCGAGCCCCUAUCCCAGGCCCCCAGGCAUCCAGCGGCUUCUAGACCCAGAGGGCAGCCGGGCAGGCUCGGGCAAGCACGCCCUGAGCCGCCUCGAUCAGAGGGUGCUCAGCUCACAGCCUGUAGGGCUCAAGGCGGUCCUGAGUGACGAGGUGGAGAGACAGCCAGGUCAAAGCAGCGACCGCAAUUACGCUGCAUUACUGCCUGCAAUGGAGCAGUGCGGGCCCUGGGGUCUGCCCCCCCAACUCGUCCUCCCCACAAGGUGUCCAGACCACAGAUCUGACUGUGUUCUCCCCUGCUCGAAGCCCAGUGUUUGGUGCCUGGGGUGACCCCCCGUUCGCCAUCUGGACUCCACCCUCACCGGGACCCUCGCCACUUCGAACUGGGCUGUUCUGUGUCUGUGUAGCUCUGGUAUCCCACUCUCCAGCGGCAUCCUGCCCACCCCGCAAGGCCCAGCUUGCUCAGCCCCCAGACCUGCAGACCCCCCAGGGCAGGCCAGGUCUGGAAUGUGGGAGUGCUCAUCUUUGCCCAGUUCGGGUGCAGGACCCAGCCCCUGACCCGCGCUGAACUCUUGGAAACGAACACACCAGCAGAACCCAGGCCGCAUGUUUUUAAGCCUUUGGGCUGAGGUUAAGUUUGAGCUUGUGCCAGCCUGGAAUCUGUCUCUCCCCGGUCUCACAGACAGGAGAGGUUCUGAGAGGUUCACUGACUCCUGCAACAAGUCUGAGACUCUGCUCUGAAAAUGAGUGUGAGGAUGGGGGCCAAGGAGGGUGGGGGGUGCCCAGGAGGUGGCUCUUGGUGGACCUAAGAGCAGACAAGAGCCUCCAGGACUCUGGGUUAUGGAGGUGGCUUAGGGCAGAACUUUGGGUCCCGCUCACCUCCCCCCGGAAGGACUGAUGCUGAAACUGAAGCACCACUGCUUCGGCCACCUGAUGUGAAGAG